UGAGGAAUAUUGGUCAAUGGUCGGGAGACUGAACCAGCCAAGCCGCGUGAGGGAUGAAGGUACAGAGUAUCGUAAACCUCUUUUGUCAGGGAACAAAAGGCGCCACGCGUGGCGCUCCGAGUGUACCUGAAGAAAAAGCAUCGGCUAACUCCGUGCCAGCAGCCGCGGUAAUACGGAGGAUGCGAGCGUUAUCCGGAUUUAUUGGGUUUAAAGGGUGCGUAGGCGGCGAGUUAAGUCAGCGGUAAAAGCCCGGGGCUCAACCCCGGCCCGCCGUUGAAACUGGCUUGCUUGAGUUGGAGAGAAGUAGGCGGAAUGCGCGGUGUAGCGGUGAAAUGCUUAGAUAUCGCGCAGAACUCCGAUUGCGAAGGCAGCCUACCGGCUCCAGACUGGCGCUGAGGCACGAAAGCGUGGGGAGCAAACAGGAUUAGAUACCC
rnacentral:rRNA from 1 species